UUUCUAAAGCCUAUGCUUGGUGCUUUGUAAGCUUAAUAGGGAAAGUGGUGAAAGUCCACUACAGCCCCCGCUACUGUAAGUGAGGAUGAAAACAGUAAAUACCACUGGAUUGUUCUGGGAAGGUACUGUGAGUAAAAGGAAUCACGAGUCAGGAGACCUGCCAAAUUUUGUAACAAACC
rnacentral:ncRNA from 1 species